UUUUUGGAGUAGGGGCUUGAGAAUAUGGAAUAUGGAAUAUGGGAUACAGAAUAUAGAAUAUAGAAAUUUUCUCUCUGAUCAUGUUUUGGGAAAAAGAUUUCACUGGAUUUAUCUUUGCAGUGGCCAUAUCACCCUUGAAGAAUACUGGACAGCAUUUUAGGAGAAAAAGAUUAUUGUGUCACAGCAACCAGAAAAUAAGUGGGUAGUGAGAGUGAUCGAGGCUCAUCUGGAUAUUAAGGCUGUUGUUGUCAGUGACCUACAGCAACCUGCUCAUGUCUGCAAUUUUUCAACAGUUGACCUUGUCAUCCACAAGCAGCCUUGUCUCCCUCAUAUCUGACUUGUUCCUCUUCACUUCUGGGCAACACAGUCCCCUGGUAACCCUGCCAUUUCCAGGACGAGAGUACCAGGAGCUGGAGAUCCAGCUCCUCAGACUUGUGGAUGAAAGACCCAGUUGCAGUCUGUAGACACUGCAGACAGCCCCUGCUCUCAAAGACAGGACACCCAAGAAGAUUUUGGAACACUGUGAGAAGCCUAUAACAUGAAUAACUGAGAAAGAAACCUUGGAGACUUAAGCUUCUGUUUCUCUCAAAACUGAAUUUCACAUGCUAUGUUUUUGGUGGUUUUUCAUGCUGUUUUUUGGGAGGGUGGAGGAGGGGAGUGGAGGUGAAUUACAAUAUUAUUGUCAAGUGAGUUGCUAUAGGUUUGAAAACACUGGCACUCUUUUAUGUUAAUGUACAGGAUUUUAAACUGCUGGUAGUAAUAACUUGACCUCUUUAGGUCCAGUAAAACUUAUCACAGCCAUGUGAAUACAUUUUCCCCAGAAAAUCUCAGGAUUAAUACAAAAGCUUUUCAUAAUUUUUAAGGAAGUGGCUUCUAGAAUAGAAAGAGUGAUGAGAGUGCUUAGCUGAGAUGUGAAGAAAUUCAGGAUUGUCUUGUUUUCGAACCAAAUUAUUGCAAAUGUUGUUAGCCGUAAUCUGAAAGUGUGUAUGUAGAGUAUAUUUAUACAAUUCCAAUGGCUAUUCAAUCUUUGAUAUUCACUAUCACAGCAUGAUUCAGAAAACUUAACUCUUGGUCUUAAGUGCGUCUUAGUAGAAAAGUGAGUUUGUCUUACAUGCUUUACAAGGUGCUAUCUGGUCUGGAUCUUCAGCCAGAUUGUUUGUUGCACUAAAAUUCAUUUAAUCUCCUAAUGUAAACCCAACCCACUCGCUUAUCUGCACUGCUCUGUGAACCUCAGGCAUGUAAAACACUCACAAAAUGAGAUAUAUGAAACGGCCUUGCCUAACUUCAAGGUUUGAUUUGAGGCUAUCAACACCAGGGACUUCAAGCUACUGUGACAAAAAUGUAAGGAAUGUUCUGUCACAGAAUGCUAAUUCUAUUGGCAGUCCUGACUGACGGACAUCAGAAAGCCCUCAUGUCUCAUAUUUAUACUUCCUAACCUUGUGUGUGCUUUUUAUCCUUAGAAAAUGCAGUAUCUCAUGAUCCUUCAAAUAACAAAUGACCUUAUUCCUUUUAAUGGGGUCAUUAAGAACUCUAACGUUCCAGGUAUAAAUUCCUGCUACUACUGUGCACCUUCAUUUGUUAUUCAUAUGUGAAUCCCUUUGGGUUCCCAAUUACUAUCCAGCAACAGCAAUUGGCUCUUGAAAUUAUUCCCACAGGACUGACUUUGUAAAGGACACUGCAGUUUACAUCUUAGUUCCCUAAUUACAGACACAACGCUCGAUAAACUUUGAACAACUAGUAAUUGGAAGCUAAUGGUUACUCUCAUUGAAUCCCUGUUGACACAGAUUUUGUUGCCCGAUAACUGACCACAAGUGGGUCAUGUGAGAAGGCAGGAGUGAAGAAAGAGUAUUAAGGUCAUAUGCUACCAGUGGGAAUUGACUGGAAAAAGUCCCUUAUAAAGUGGGGGCUUAGCAUCCUCAGUUUGUUACAACUCAGUGCACAACAUCUGAAACACCACAGGUGCUACAACUGCAUCUCCCUGCUGGGGUAAGAAAUAGCAGAUGAUAUUUGUGAGGGAUGGUGGGAUGGGUUUCAAAGAGCUUUUUGCCCUGCUCUGAGUGCUGGUAUCUUCUCUGCAAGUGCAACAUAGUCAUAAAAUACCUUGAAUUAAUUUAGUCAAAGUCUAGGCCCUAAUGCUAUCUCAAGAGCAAAAAAGUUUUUGUUACUUUCUCUGCAUACUCUCCUUUCAUUCCCCACCUCAGAAUCAAGCCCUUCAGAACAACUAAGAUGAUAACCAAGAUAAUAAUUUAUUUGACCUUAUCAGUAUUCCUUUUCAUCAAGUGCAAAGCAAAAUAUUUUUAUCACAAUAAAGUUCAUUCUAAUGCUGUAUUUAAUACCGUUCCCUCACCCAAAUAUAAAUGCAGACCACUGAAAAAAAGCACAUAACAUCACACACGUUCCAGCUGAUUAUAUAAAUACUGUAAGAUUACUUAGUAAAAAUGAUUGCUUGUGAAAAACAUUAUCAAGCAAGGGCUUGACUUAGGAUCACUAUGCUUUGAUGAUACAUGCUUUUUGUUAAGAAGAAAGAUUGUGUGGAAUUGUAU